CAAUGGCCCUUUUUGCGGUAUUUCUCUCUAUUAUUUUAGAGAUUUAUAAUUCGUCCCUUUUACUGGACCAAAUUUCUAUGAAUUAGAGAAUUCGAUUCACAAGAACCAACUAACUAGCUUUUCAAUAGAAAAGUAAAGUUUGCCAUUUAGAUCGUUCCUUUUUAGCCCAUUCCAUUUUGAUUUAUUUGGUAGUUCGACCGCGAAACUUCUUUGUUUCUGUAUUUCCGGAAUAUGAGUGUGUGACUUGUUAUAAUGGAUCCUAUUGAUAGAUCAAGACUACAAUGGAUCUAUAGGGUAAGAUCCUUUAUCUACAGCGGAAUGGUAUACAAAGUCAACAGAUCUCAAUCAAAAAAAUAGGAUUUAUGGCUACACAAACCGUUGAGGGUAGUUCUAGAUCUAGUCCAAGACGAACUGUUGUAGGAGAUUUAUUGAAACCAUUGAAUUCAGAAUAUGGUAAAGUAGCUCCGGGGUGGGGAACUACCCCUUUGAUGGGGAUUGCAAUGGCCCUAUUUGCGGUAUUUCUCUCUUUUAUUUUAGAGAUUUAUAAUUCGUCCCUUUUACUGGACCAAAUUUCUAUGAAUUAGAGAAUUCGAUUCACAAGAACCAACUAACUAGCUUUUCAAUAGAAAAGUAAAGUUUACCAUUUAGAUCGUUCCUUUUAGCCCAUUCCAUUUUGAUUUAUUUGGUAGUUCGACCGCGAAACUUCUUUGUUUCUGUAUUUCCGGAAUAU
rnacentral:lncRNA from 1 species